UUAACAAAGAGAAGCAAGACCGCGAGGGUGGGAGCAAAACUCAAAAAAAUGGUCUCAGUUCGGACUGCAGGCUGCAACCCGCCUGCACGAAGUUGGAAUUGCUAGUAAUCGUGGAUCAGCAUGCCACGGUGAAUACGUUCCCGGGUCUUGUACACACCGCCCGUCACACCAUGGGAGUCGGUAACACCCGAAGUCCGUAGCCUAACCGCAAGGGGGCGCGGCCGAAGGUGGGUUCGAUAAUUGGGGUGAAGUCGUAACAAGGUAAC
rnacentral:rRNA from 1 species